UACGAACGUGCGCAAACGUUAUUCGGAAUCGACUGGGCUUACAGGGUGCGUAGGCGGGCGGGGGAAAGUAGGGGUGUGAAAUGCCUUGGCUCAACCAAGGCACAGCGCUCUAAAACUACCUCGCUCGAGUGAGUCAGGGGUACGCGGAACUUCCGGUGGAGCGGUGAAAGUGUGUUGAUAUCGGAAGGAACACCGGUGGCGAAAGACGGCGUACUGGG
rnacentral:rRNA from 1 species